rnacentral:rRNA from 1 species
GUCAGGGAGAAGUCUCUUCGGGGAUGAUUAAACCGGCGCACGGGUGAGUAACACGUGAGUGACCUGCCUUUUAGACUGGAACAACUUACCGAAAGGUGAGCUAAUGCCGGAUGAGUUAUAUAAGUGCAUGUUUAUAUAGGAAAAGUUGGGGAGACCUGACGCUGAAAGAUGGACUCGCGUCCCAUUAGCUAGUUGGUAGGGUAAUGGCCUACCAAGGCGACGAUGGGUAGCCGGCCUGAGAGGGUGGCCGGCCACACUGGGACUGAGACACGGCCCAGACUCCUACGGGAGGCAGCAGUGGGGAAUUUUGCGCAAUGCUCGUAAGAGUGACGCAGCGACGCCGCGUGAAUGACGAAGGCCUUCGGGUCGUAAAGUUCUUUCGACAGGGAAGAAAAUGCCUAUAAGUAACUGUGUAUGUAUUGACGGUACCUGUAUAAGCAGCCCCGGCUAACUCCGUGCCAGCAGCCGCGGUAAUACGGAGGGGGCGAGCGUUGUUCGGAGUGACUGGGCGUAAAGAGCACGUAGGCGGUGUUGUAAGUCAUUAGUCAAAGACUAGAGCUCAACUUUAGUAAGGCUAGUGAUACUAUAAUACUAGAGUAUCAGAGAGGAUUGCAGAAUUCCUGGUGUAGCGGUGAAAUGCGUAGAUAUCAGGAGGAAUACCGUUAGCGAAGGCGGCAAUCUGGCUGGAAACUGACGCUGAGGUGCGAAAGCGUGGGUAGNCAACAGGAUUAGAUACNCUGGUAGUCCACGCCGUAAACGAUGGAUGCUAGGUGUUGGGCUUUUAAGU